CACCCCUACUAACGUGUUCGGAACAUAUUCUUUAUCGGUGUUAAGUAGAGCGUAAAAUCAAAGACUAUCGAAUGAAAUAUAAUCUCGCUGCUCCGAGACUCCAACGCGAGCUACCUGAGACCCGGUGAAUUUUCUACCGGAUAUGGAUGUGCUUAAAGGAAUUCCAGUGUUAAUUGUACUUUUUGGGGACUUUGAGUGAUUCACCACCCUUUGAACAAAUGUAUUUUGAGAUCCUCAAAGGAAUCCUAGAUUUGUCAAGAAGCCAUGUUUUAAUUGCUGCCCAUCAAAUAGUACUGUGUCUUGCAUGUGUAAAUUAGAUUCAUUUUGAGGAAAUAGCUGGUGUGCAGUGCACAUUCCUAAAUGAAUUCAUCAGUUUACAUUAAGGAUCUACCUUUCAAAUCCUGUAAUCUGGGAUGCUCUAAAGUGCAUGUCACAGACUAAAGUUAUAAAAAUAACUUCCAAGAAUUUUUAAGAAAUUGUUAUAACUUUGAAAUGUAUGUAUAUACAUGUAUACUGAUAUUGAAUUAAAUUUUAUAAAAUUUCA